AUUUAGUAAUCAUCUAGCACAGACAUAGCCAGUUUGAUACCCUUCCAGUGGUAUUGGACUCUGGCUCCCAUCAGCCCCAAACAGAAUAGCCAAUAGUCAGGGAUGGUGGCAGCUGAAGUCCAAUGACAUCUCAAGGGCACCAUUUUGGCCAUGUCUGAUCUAACAACAGCAGAGGGGUAGUGGCCUGGGGUUGUGGUGUGUGUGUGUGUGUAGGGCUCAUUAAUAUUUCUGCAGCAGGAUCUGAGCAGGGUCCCUGUCUCCAGCAUCCUAGAGCUUGCUCCAUCAACAUGAAAAGGGAGCUUUUCAGCCACCGAGAAGUAGUCUUCUCACCCUUCGUGCUAAUCAGAGCUAAUCAAAGUUAAAGGAGGUAAGACGACCACUGAGGAUUGGCUCCUCUGAAUACUGAGGAGGAGUUAUCAUGUAUGCACCAAAGCUAAGCAUUAAGGAACACCGAAAACACAAGGUCCUUCAAGUAUCAAGAGAAUGGUGUGCAGUUUCUAUUACGUACAGUGGGAUGUCAACCAGCAAUAUGGGAUGAUGGGAGCUGAAGUUCAGCAAUACCUACGGAGCCAAUGCUUCACCAAGCCCGGCUUAGUGGAUAGCACUGUGAUGUGACUGAGGAGAAAUGGGAUUUGUUCAGCCAGCACCAUACAACCAUGUGCUAUGUAGUAGCUAAGAAUGCCCGUCGCAAUUCUUUGUUGUCCCAUACAAUUCAUUGAUGUUCACUGUGCCCAUACUUAGCAUAUGCAUUUGCAUUUGCACAGACCUGAAUUAAUAGUGCCAAUACCCCCUCUGUUAAAGGGACUACCACCCCACCAUCACUGUUAUGUACUGAGUUGAACAGGAUCCAAAAUGAAGCAGUCUGAUUGGUCCUAGAACAAUAGGAUUCAGAAUGCAGCAGUUUGAUUGGUCCUAGAACAAUGCAGCAGUAUGAUUGGUCUGCUGGAGCCACCCAAUCCAGCUCCAGGUGGAAGUGAAUCUGCAACCUGAUUGGCCUACAGGAGAAUUCUGGAAUUAGCCAAUCAUGUGCAGCCCAUUGUGUAAAUAAUGUAUAUAAAGCAGAUACUUUGGGGGAACUUUCAUUUCCUCCUCACCACUAUGAGCUGAAUAAAGAGCAUGAAAUCCACUCUCGACUCUGAGUAUAUUUCAAUCACCACGAAGUACUGCAGUUUCUGGUACACCCCCCCCCCCCCGUCAUCAUCAUCACCAUCAGAGACAACCUUUCAUAGAACAUAACAUAAGGUCAUAAGAAUAUCCGGCUGGAUCAGACCAAUGGUCCAUCUAUUUUGGCAGAGAAGCUAAUUUGCAGCUAGGAAGCCAAAUCAUGUGCCGUGCUGACACAUUUCUUGAAAUUAAAAUGAUAUCCAAUCACUUGUUAAAAUAUUCAGAAGCUUUUACCUGCAGAACAAAUAGCUUGUUGUUGUUGUUGUUUAGUCACUUAGUCAUGUCCGACUCUUCGUGAUCCCAUGGACCAGAGCACGCCAGGCACUUCUGUCUUCCACUGCCUCCUGCUGGUAGCUUCAAGAACACUAUCCAACCAUCUCGUCCUCUGUCAUCCCCUUCUCCUUGUGCCCUCCAUCUUUCCCAACAUCAGGGUCUUUUCCAGGGAGUCUUCUCUUCUCAUGAGGUGGCCAAAGUAUUGGAGCCUCAGCUUCAGGAUCUGUCCUUCCAGUGAGCACUCAGGGCUGAUUUCCUUAAGAAUGGAGAGGUUUGAUCUUCUUGCAGUCCAUGGGACUCUGAAGAGUCUCCUCCAGCAUCAUAAUUCAAAAGCAUCAAUUCUUCGGUGAUCAGCCUUCUUUAUGGUCCAGCUCUCACUUCCAUACAUCAGUUGCUUUAUGGUCCAGCUCUCACUUCCAUACAUCACUACUGGGAAAACCAUAGCUUUUACUAUACGGACCUUUGUUGGCAAGGUGAUUUCUAUACUAAAGAAGAAUAUAUGCAAAGCAUUUUCAUUCAUGUGCUUAUCCAAGCAUGGGCUUAGUUUUGCUUAGUUGAAGACUACAGUUUGUUCUUUAACAUUCAAACAUACUGUUUCUUUCUCUCUUCCCAGCACUUACCCUCAGCCUCCUGAAUAUUACCCCAGCUAGGCCUUGGCGGUUCCUUCUGAGAGGCUUCCAUUUUCUCCUCACUGUUUCUCUGGGAGAACAACAACUUCUGUACUUCAUUCUGUCACAUACAUUCACAAAGAAACAUCAGCACUCCUCUCCUCUAGUGAGUUAUCUAACACUGUCUCUUCUUCAGUGUUCAUGGAGAUGCAGCCAUUACAGUCAAGUCUCUCACACAGAAAACAAAAAGGAGAAUGUGAUGAGGUACCUCCCAUGUGGCCAGAGUUAACCAAUCACAUGAGAAUGACUGCGGAACAUUCCAGAAUCAAACGCACAGUAAUGCAUGUAAGUAUUCCCAAUUUCAGUAGAUUAAAUCACUAUGCCCAAGAAAGAUCUUAAAUUAUUUUUGUAUGCCACAGCUGCUGCUCGAAUUUUACUAGCUAAAAAGUGGAAAACGCGAGAAUUACCAACGGUGGAAGAAUGGCAGAUGAAGAUGAUGGAUUUUUCGGAGCUAGCCGACCUAACCGGAAGAGUCCGCGACCAGAAGGAGGAGGAGUAUCAGGAAGAAUGGACAAAAUUUAAUGAUUAUUUAGUUAAAUAUGUUAAGUUAAAUUAAUUGGAAACAGCUUGCAGAUACUUAAUUGGCUUAGGAUUUUAUAUAAGUUAAGUGAUGAAUUAAUAUAUUUAAUUUCAAAAUGAAAAGAUUUAAGGAUGUUAAUCUUCAUGUUAAAUUUUAUAAGAACUGUGAUUUGGAAAACUGUUAAAAGGAUAUAUACACUGGAAUUCAACCAAGGGGAAGCGAGGAAGUCACUUAACAAUGUUAAUAAGUGUAAUUUUUAAUAAGGUUAUGAUUUUUGUUUGUUUAUGUGGUUUUUUUGUUUGUUUAUAAUCAUGUGAAAAUCAAUUAAAAAAAUUAUAAAUAAAUAAAUCACUAUACAGUGGUACCUCAGGUUAACAACUUAAUUCGUUCCGGAGGUCCGUUCUUAACCUGAAACUGUUCUUAACCUGAGGUACCAUUUUAGCUAAUGGGGCCUCCCACUGCUGCUGCUCUGCCACCGCGCAAUUUCUGUUCUCAUCCUGAAGCAAAGUUCUUAACCUGAGGUACUAUUCCUGGGUUAGUGGAGUCUGUAACCUGAAGCGUAUGUAACCUGAAGCAUAUGUAACCUGAAGCGUCUGUAACCCGAGGUACCACUGUACUUUACAGUCUAGCCAGGAGCGGAGGAAGGGGGGUGCAGUGGGGGUGGACUGCCCCAGGUGUCACCACUGAGGAGGGUGACAAAAUGGUGGCGGCACUCACCGCAGGGCCUGCAGUGCGCCCGAACUACUCGUCUUUCUUGGGAGUGACGCAGUGGCUUGGGUGCCCACAGGCUCCGCGCUGCCCCAAACGGUCCGCCCACUGCCUCCCUCCCCAGAUCUAGGGCAGCUGAGUGGGAGGAGGUGUACAGACUCAUUGGAGACCCCGCAGAGCAUCCUGCCAUGGCUCACCCUGCCCCACGGGCGGCUGGCCCACACGCCACCCCAGGCGCCCGAUCAGCUUCCUCAACCUCUGUGUCUAACAUCCUGUUCUCGCAGUGGCCAGCCAGAAGACUGUGAGGAAACCAACAAACAGGACCUGAGAGCAAGAGCUUUUCCCUUCUGUGGCUUCCAGCAACUGGUAUACAGUGGUACCUCAGGUUACUUACUUAAUUUGUUCCGGAGGUCCGUACUUAACCUGAAACUGUUCUUAACCUGAAGCACCGCUAAUGGGGCCUCCUGCUGCCACCGCGCCGCUGAAGCAUGAUUUCUGUUCUCAACAUGAAGCAAAGUUCUUAACCUGAAGCACUAUUUCUGGGUUAGCGGAGUCUGUAACCUGAAGCGUAUGUAACCUGAAGCGUAUGUAACCUGAGGUACCACUGUAUUCAGAUGCAUUACUGCUUGUAAUGAUGGAGGCAAAGCAUAUUGACAUCAUGACAUGUAGCCGUUGGUAACCCUCUUCUCCACUAAUUCAUCUAAAAAAUGUUCUAGGUUGGUGACCAUCACUUCCAUAGCCUACCUAUGUGCUGUGUGAAGAAAUACAUUCUUUUAUCAGUCCUAAAUCUUCCAACAUAACAACAAAGAGGAUGAGGGGAGAACGUGAUGCUUUUAAAAACUUCUUUGUUUGUUUUCUCUCUGUGUCAUGUCUCCCGAACAGGAAAAACUCUUGGAUAGGCCUCAAAACUUUGCUCUAGGUGGAAACUCUGGUGACCCACUCAAUCCUCUUCCUGGUUGCAUUUGUUUAUGUGCCUCCAGAUGUGGCUGGCCCUGCUGCAUCCCGAUGUCUCCACGCUUUCGACAAAGUAGAAUGUGAAUCGAACCGAUCACAGCAAGCGCGGCUGCUGAAGCAAGCUGAAAUGAGCCCAAGUGGGAACGAUGCUGCAUAGAUUAAGCUUCAGCCCCCCUGCUGGGUUGCCAGGGAAACUGGAGAAACAGCUGCAUCAGAAUGUGGAUGGAGAAAGGCGAUGGAGCUGGAGUCAGAAGGGGGAGAGCAUCUAAAAGGAAGCUCUCAGUGUGGUGCUCAUUCAGAAUGGGGUCAGUGGUACAGGAAGGAAACAGAAGCACCGCAAGGCAUCUCAUUGCUUCCCGAGGAAGCAGUAGCCAUCUCACUGUAUAAAAAUGGCAUUUUCCCCCCAUUCCUGUAAUCGAUUUUGCUCCAUGAUGGUUACUGUCUUCUGAUGUUGGUCUAGCAGGUUCCAGAUUAACCAUGUGGCCUCCUACUCUCCACACAGCAAAGAUAUUUGAGAAAGGUUGGAACUUCAGCACAGAGUUGGCACUAGAUGUGGGAUAUUCAGCCUCAUAUAACCAACAUGCUGAAGUCAAAUUAAUGCAUGAAGGGGUUAAGACCAUAGAGUAAGCGGUUCUGCCAGGCUUAGCUAGGUCACUUCCCCUCACCCUAGGAGGAAGGGUUUUCAAGCCUUUGUUCUUCCCAUUCCACCACUUGAACCCUACCAGUAAGGAGGUCCAAGCUGGAUGCUCCAAGCUUAGACCACAUGCCUUAAGUCAGCUUUGUGUUUCUGUACAAAUAAUUUGGAAACAUUUAACACUUUGGAACCUAAGUUUUACUGUCUGUGUUUUCUGACUGCUGUAUGGGAAAGCACAUGACUCUGACCUUUGAAGAGUUUGUAAGUAAACCAUUUUUAACUUACCAAAUAUGUGGUCUCUUUUCUAUGCUAAGGGAAGAGGGGAAUAUUGCAAGCAACUUAGAAGGUGGCAUUUUUAAAGGGUUUGGUAUUUUAAGGAUUUUUUUUUUUAAAGUUUUAUUGUUAACCAUCUUGGGAGUCUUUUCCAAGACUAAAAGGCAGGCUUUAAUUGUUUAUAUAAAUAAAUGCAUGAAAAAAUAAAUAAAAAAUGACCAUAGAGGCCACAGCACUGCUGAAGCUAAGCAGGGGGAAACCUGAUCAGUUUUUAUUCAUACACAAAUGUAUGCAUAUUUAACCCAUUUAUUGAUUAAUUGACUAAAAUGCAUAUAAUUAAUCGACUCCCAGUUUCUUUAAUCAGGUGUCAGCCCUAAUCAGCACAAUUGCCUAAAGAAUUUUACAGUAUCCAAUUAAAUUCUCUUAAACUGCUAAAACCAUCACAUCUCUUUGUCAAGACAUGAUUUUUGGUAGAGAAAUUAUUUUGUUGGCAGAGAGCCAUUUCACAUAUAUAAUAUAAAUUCAACACUGGUAGUAUAUUAACUAAGCAGAAUCGCUACUGGGAAAUUAAACAUAUUGCAGAGGAAAAGUGAAACAGCCAUAAAAAAGAAGGGGGGGGGGGAAAGGUGUUUGGUAGAGGAGAUUAAUUUUUUUUUCAUUGUCAGAAACCUAUUAAAAUAUACAGAGCAUAAAGAAAUGUAUCAAAUGUUGAGAUUACAUCUAGGAUAGCCGCAAUUUGAGACAAAGGAUCUUCUUUCUAGGGGCACUUCUCAAGCAGAGAAAAUGUGGAUUAACGUGUAAAAGUAGUUCAAUUCUAAUGUAAUAAAAGCCCAGGAGACAGCUGGCUUAGUGUACAAGAUACUGUCUAUUUCAGAACUACUGGAAUAAAAAAAGAAUCAUCCCUAUACCUUCAACAAAGGCAAUUGUAGGAAUAUUGAGCUAGCGUUAAAACACUUUAAAGUCCAAUUGAUGUCAAAGAAAGAGAUUUAAGAGUGUGCUUAAGUUUCCUGUCGAAAUGAAUGGCAAUUGAAAGGUCCUCGCUUGGGUUAGAGUGGGUCUAACCCGGGGAAUGAACUAGAUGUGGUUUCUGGUUGGCCAUCGAGGCUGGUCCCAAUGAGAGUGCUUUACAGUAGUCUAUAAAGCACUGUUUUGAGAGAUUGCCCUUGAAGGCUGUUCAGGAAUCUCACCUAGUUCAGAAAAUGGAGGCCUGGCUCCUAACUGAGGUUUCCUGAAGAGACUGUAUUAUGUGUGUCUUCAAAAAGUCUUCAAGUGGUUGCCAGUUGGUUUUCUAGAAGCCAUGUCUCUUCCUACAUACAUGUUGGAAGACACACAAACACACACACAAAGAAUGAAAACCUUGAUGCAUGUACAUAGCUGCAUCUGAACAGAUGGCUACAAUAUUGAGGGCCUUCUCAUAAACAGUACCCCAGGUAUGAGGUCUAAAGGACUCGCAGCAGGGUGAAAACUAUUAUUUAAUAACAAUACAAUAGCUGCUUUGUGUCAGUGUAAUAGUCAAUAUAAGGUAGGGUUGCUGUACAUCUGGAAUUUUCUGGACAUUGCUGGGAUUUGGCAAUCAUAAGCAGUGUCCGGGCAGAAAUAGCUGAAAUAUCUGGGAAAAUCUGCAUGUAUGGCCACCCACGUAGGAACUGUAGAUUUGGGCGAAUUUUCUUAAAAAUAAUUCAAAAACUUCAUUUUUAUUUUUAGAUUUUGCCAAAGAAGCUCAAGAACUUUGGGAAAACUAAAAAAACACACUCAACAACUCUUUGACCAAAAACCUCAUCAUCAUCAUUAUUAUAAUUAUUUUAGUUUUUGCAACAACAGCAAAAAUUCAACAACUUUGCCAAAAAAGAUUUCAACAAUUUUGUGUCUGGAUUUUCACUUUUUGAAAUAUGGCAACCCUGAGAUAAGGCAGUGCUCAUCAUUCUGUUAUGGAAGGCUUUUAAAGAAUUAAUACCUCCUGGAGAUUUUAAUAGGAAAAGUGAAAGUAUCCUUGAGGCCCCAUAUUAUGGAGUGUGUUAUGAUUCCAGAUAUUAUCCCAUCCUUUUUUAUUGAGCUUGGAUCAGUCACCUGCUGUCAGCCUAACCUACCUCACAGGGUUGUUGUGAAGAUAAUAUAUAGAAGGGGAGAGAUAUGCAUGCUGCGCUUGAGCUCCUUGGGAGAAAAUGUGGCGUGUGGCUUCAGUACUAAAUAAAUAAAUACAUCCAUGCAGGAUAGAAAUGGAAAUAAGAUGAUCAACAAGUCAUGGAAGCAAGCAUACUUGCUAAGUGUGCCCCUGACCAGAAUCUCUCAAAAGAAGGGAGAGAGACCCUCUCACAAAAGAGUUAAACAGACAAUUAUAUUUAAUUUCCCAAAUAAUUAUUUCCCCAAUUUCGCAGUUAAUCCCCCAACUAAUUAUUCAGCAUGAUGCAGUGAGCUUCCUUGUACUUGAGUUGCAAUGAAAUCUUUUUAAUGUAGACUCAGGGUUACGUAAGAAACUUAGGCUACCCAUAUCACAUCACCCCAUUGGUCCUUACUUUUAAGUAGACCUAUGCUUUUUUGCAGAUUUUGCUCUGUUAGGCUGCAAUCCUUUAUCUGCUCACCUCUGAAGUGAAGGCCCAAGACAGGUGUUGAUCAUUAUGUGAGCUGCGCACAGGUGGUCUGAAGCGCGGGAGCGAGCUACCACCAUUCCUGUGGAGCCUCCUUUUAUUGAGACAAACAUGCAAGCUAGGCAAAUACAUUUUUGGGCUGUGACCUUUACACAUCUUCCGUCCCGAAAUCGUAGGGCGGUACAAAGCUAUUUUGGCACCUGUUCCACAGCGUCAUUUUCCCCUUGCGCUGUGUAUGACGUAGGAGACAAAAGGUCUCAGGGAAGAACUUAGACAGGACACCGCUGACUCUGAGACCGCAAAAGGUCAGACACAGGGGACGAUGUUCUAGACAGCUUGUGGCUUGUCUGAGGGGGGGUUGUGCCCUGCACCCCAGGGUCACGCGUGCAGGCAGACGUGGCUGCCUGCUGGUGGGGAAGCGUGCUCCCUCCAGACCCCACUCCCCACUCCGCGAUAUCCCUACAACCUCCACGUAAGCCCCAUGCAUAGCAGCCAACUCCUAGCAGGUCUUUUCAUCCUGCCCCCAUAAAAUAUUUGAGAGGGCUGGGCCCUUCCAAAGUUGUUGGGCAUUGCCAUUCAAAUGGUGUGUGUGUGCUGUGUCUUGUGAUUGGUUAUGUUGGGCAGGGAUUACCUGGGCCUCUCCCCCAAUAUUUUAUUCAAAUAUGGCCCCAUGGAGUUCAAGGAGACUUCUGCCUGAGAAAAACAUAGGAAGCUGUCCUGUAUCAAAUAAGAUCACUGUUCCAUCUAUCUCUGAUUGUUUACAAAGUCUGGCAGCCGCUCUCCUGAUUUUCAAGCAGGGAUGCUCUCCAAUCAAUUUACAGGUAAAAAUUCCUAGAAAUCACUUCCCGUUAUUUCCAACGACUUUGUUAAAAAGAAAUGGAAGAUCAUUGUAAGGGAGGGGGAAAACAUGAAGCAUUCCUUCUUCCUACACAAACCUUUUUUGGGGAAAAGAAAGCUCUGGACUGUUCUAGUCUUCUGUCAGUCAAGAGUGAUCUACGGUUUUCAUGAUUAGAUGACCUGCUUUCUAUGUCUGCAACUGUUCCACAGUCUCAGUUCAGUUGAUGAAACUUACCUCAAGGGUACGGGCUGCAUUAGCUUUACAGUUUAACGAUUACUUCACUUGGUCUCCCUUUCCAUUAGGUGUGUUCAAUGAGUUUCAAAAGCCGAGUUGUCAUCGUGCUGAAUGCCUGCUAUCUCGGGCUACAAAACCCAUUAAGAAAACUUAGAGCAAAGCUUCGGAAGUCUGGAUUUCCAGAGGCAGCGAUCUCAUUCCCUUGCUUUUGACUGAAAAACACUUCCCCGUCACAGAUCAUAGAAUUAGAUUUAAAGUUCCGCUUCCUCUGGAAUGUAAUAGCAGCGAAGUCAGAAGAGGAGCCUGACACACAAAGUCCUCUUUCUAAGGCGUCACCACGGCAGUUGUCCCUUGGGAACAAGAUAUUAAAUAAUUAGAUCCUUGGCCAGGGCAGGCUGGUGUCAUGGUUAUCAGCACAGUGCAUUUGGAACUGGACCAAAUGAGAGCAGAGGAAAAUAAGAAGAGCUUUGAUGGCCAAAGGUUCAUCAAGCCCUGCAUUCUUUUCUCACAGUGACCAACCAAAUGACUAUGGGAAGCACACAAGCCAAGACCAACAGUACUCUCCUCACCCAUAUUCCUCAGAUACUGACAUGGUGCCUUGGGGGGGGGGGGAGGAGUUGGACAUUUUGCCAAUUCAGAAUAAAACUGCCCAGAUGCCAUUUUGCAGUCCAGUUCCCAGAUGUGUUCAGGAAAACCCAGACGUAUGGCAGCCCCACAUAAGUACUAAAGAGAUCAAAUUAAGUGUGAUGGUCUGGGACUCAGACUCAGACUCAGAACCAGAGGAGACUCAAUCUGCACCGGAUCCUUUGCCUCAGGCAUCACCUGAACCAAGCCUGGGGCCUGAUCCUGAAGAGUCCCAGUCUGCACAGGUUCCCCUGCAACAAACACCAGCUGGGCCGAGUCAGGGGCCUGAGCCUGCCCUGGCUCCAGAUGCAGGGAUUACCUCAUUGCCUUCAGCUGGGCAAUCACUUACAGCUGCUCAACUACCAGUUGGGUCAGGAGAGGCUGAGGUGGCCUCUGGGUCUAGUAACCCACAUACGUCUCCCGAGCUGCAGAGACUAAGGUCUGAGAGAAGGAGAGACCUGAGUACUCACAGGAGGAAUGCUCACCUUCGGGCAAAACAGGGAGGUGAGUCGCCGGGGGAUCAGGACCGGCUGCUACCCCAACAAAGAUAAAAGGCUGUCGGGCCCUGCCCCAGGUUGCGGGAGCAGCACUGCUGUAUGCUAGAUCCUGCCUGAGAUCCUGUACCUGUCCUUGCCUUGCCUGGUUUCCUGCCUUGGCCCUGUUGGACUGACUCCCAGCAGUACCUUCAGAUUCUGGACUGGUCGUGGACUGCGUUGCACGGGUUACCCUCGGGCCCAGCACAUUAAGCUCUAGUGAGCAUUUCAGCAGUUCUUCUACAUCCUCACUUCCAGAUGAACACACAUCCCUCUUGCCCAGUAUCAGCAAAGUAUCCAACUAAGGUAUUAUCUUCACAUUUGGACAAAUGUGUGGUAUUCCAUGUUUAAAUGAUCCCUCGUAUAAAGACUCCUUACUCAUAGAAACUUAGCAUGUAAGGGAGAAGACUGUAACUCUUCUUGGUGGACUAGCUUUCCAUGCGCACUAUUUUAAAUUAACAGUAAAGGUAAAGGUAAAUGGACCCCUGACCAUUAGGUCCAGUCGUGGCCGACUCUGGGGUUGCGGCGCUCAUCUUGCUUUAUUGGCCGAGGGAGCCGGUGUACAGCUUCCGGGUCAUGUGGCCAGCAUGACUAAGCCACUUCUGGUGAACCAGAGCAGCGCACGGAAACGCCGUUUACCUUCCUGCCAGAGCGGUACCUAUUUAUCUAUUUGCAUUUUGACGUGCUUUCAAACUGCUAGGUUGGCAGGAGCAGGGACUGAGCGACGGGGGCUCACCCCAUUGCGGGGAUUUGAACCGCCGACCUUCUGAUCGGCAAGUCUUAGGCUCUGUGAUUUAACCCACAGCGCCACCCGCAUCCCAAAUUAAUGGUACAUGACCCCAUCACCAUCUUUUACAUGUGUAAGUCAGGUGUGAGAAACCUCAAGCCCAGAGGCCAAAUAUGGACCUCCAGACCUCUCUCUCUGAUCCUUGGGACUUUCCCCAGGCUGUGCUCCCUUCUUUUGAGGUCACUAGCCUUGCCCCACACCCUAUUGAAGUUCUUUUGCCUGUGCAGAAUGUGUCCUUGAAUAAGGUUUCUUGCUUGCCUAGAUGGAGAGAGGUAUGUGUAGAAACUCCUAUCUUUUGCCUGGCUGAACAAGAGCCUAUUCCACAAAGGUGAAAGUCAUAUCCCUUUAUUGACAUGCACCUUCUCAAGGGUUGCACCCAUGUUUUGCCCAUGUGCCUGUUGCCUGUCAUGUUUUCCUUACUGUGCAGAUCUGCACUAAAAAGGCAGAUUGAAAAUCUCAACACCGCAGAGCUGUAAAAUAUCUUCAAACGGUUGUGCAAUAUACCGCAGCAAGGUAAACAUCACAUUUCAUACCAAGUGUGUUGUAAAGUUUAUAAGAAUUCUAAACACAGCCUGCUGAUUGCAACAAAUGAUGGCUUCUCCAUGAUACCACUUGUUUAGUGCCAGAGAACUUUCAAACAGCCAUGAAUCUGAUGAAUGUGGAAGAGAGGGGGAGAAAGCCACCUGUUUCCUCCUCAUCCAUCCUCAGCAUAGGUAUUGCUGGGCAAAGUUCGCCCACAAUACACAGCGAGCACCUAAUAUGCAGUGCGCACACACACACACACACACAAGGCAAGUCCAUCUUGUUCCCAUCCAUCGGUUUUAUAUGUGUGUGCGUUUAAAACAGAGUUUCUGCACAGACUGUCAUCUUUCAACUUAUGUCAGGUCUGGUGUGGAUGGGCAAAGUAAGCAAAACGUUUUAACUCCCACCAUGCAUGCAUCAUAAAUUCCUAAUGGGCAGGAACUAAAUAAAUCCCACCGUGCAUGCGACAUAAAUCUAAGUCUGUGCGUGCGAGUGAUCCAAAUCUCCAAGCUGCUGACAUGCUGCAACUCCUAUUUGGAACGCUCACCCGACAAGAAUUCAUAAACGCUCACAAAUCUGUGUUGACUGGAAAACUUCUCGGGUGGCAGGUGUUGACCCCACUCCCUAGUCCUAGGGUUAGACAUAUAAUUCAGGGAAGGAGAAGCCUUUAUUCAUUGCGAUCAGGCAUGCAAAUAGCAAUCAAGAUGUAGGCAUCAUAAUAGAUGGGUGGGUGAAGAAAUACACAGACAGGUUGUAUACAAUCUGACUCAUUUUGCAGGGGGCUAUUAAAAUGGUUAAGGUACUUCCACUUGACUUAGAUAGCUGAGCUACAUAUAUAUAUACAGACCCUCCAAGUGUCCCUAUUUUCCAGGGGUAUAAAUAAAAUUGUCUUGUUGUUGUUGUUGUUGUUGUUGUUAAAUAACUGGUGCCUGAACUUGCUUUUUCACCUCCCCUGUUAUUCCUGUUUCCUCCUGUGCCAUGUCUUUUUUUCAGAUUGUAGUAUCUAAGAGCAGGGAUUUCUUUAUAAGAAUGUUACUUAUUAUGAAACUAAUUUUAAAGAAUUUAUUUUUAAAAACUGAUUUUUUGGUAAGCCAAUGUGGCUUACUUUCUGACUAAAGGAUGAGGCAUAUAAACACUUUGACUUACAGAUGCUCAGUGUUUAAGAUAACAUGUUAGGUUAGGCCUUUGGGAACACGGUAAUUACAAGUUGAUGCAUUAAAAUAAAAUAAGUUUCUCUUGGCAGGAGUUGGGUUCAUUCUUCAGUUUGAUAGGCAAUCGGAGUUAAAUGCCAUUUUAAUAAACUGCUUGAUUUUCUGACUCUUUCAACAAACUCACCCUUGCUGGAUACAAAUCAAUAGCUACUGCACACAAGAGAGUAAAAAUAGAAUGUGAUUUUUAAUUUAAUAUAAUAAAAAUGAUUUAUUUUAUUUUGCAGUAACCAGUCACAUGGAAGACUAGCAUCUGCAAUGAAUGAAGCAGAGGAUGGAAGAAAGGGAAUUUGACGUAAUAAACUUCUGUGAGGGGGAAAAACCCAGCAUUUGAAGUAAUGGCCUUUUUUGGAUUUUGGCUUCUAUAUUGUUUGUUUGUUAUUUGAAAUUUCUAUAUCACACACACACAUGUGUGUGUGUGUGUGUGUAAUCAAAUUAGUUCACAACCUAGAUUAAAGCAUCAAAAUAUCCACGCACACAUACACAAACCUAUUACAGUCUAGACUGAAAUAUAAAAUACAGAGUUAAAGCAGCACUAUUAACAGGGAAACAAAAUAUUUUCUUAAACUUAAAAAACUUGGUGCAUAAAAAUAAAAUACAAAAAUAAACUUGACUGUUGUAACUAACUAAACAAAAUAAUUGAGAUAGAAGCUGCAUCCACAACCCCACAACCCACAAUAUAGUAACAUCUCCCAAAUAUAUCCUGAACAAUUCUCCCCAUCCAAGACCCACUCUCAUGCACUCCUCUCUUCUCAUCCAUGCCAAAAAUUCAACUAAUCCCCAGUCAACCUGGUAAAGGUAAAGGGACCCCUGACAAUUAAGUUCAGUCGCAAACGACUCUGGGGUUGCGGCGCUCAUCUCGCUUUACAGGCCGAGGGGGCUGGCAUUUGUCCACUUCCCCAGACAGUUUUUCCGGGUCAUGUGGCCAGCAUGACUAAGCCACUUCUGGCAAAACCAGAGCAGCACAAGGAAAUGCCGUUUACCUUCCCACCUAUUUAUCUACUUGCACUUUGACGUGCUUUCGAACUGCUAGGUUGGCAGGAGCUAGGACUGAACAAUGGGAGCUCACCCCGUUGCGGGGAUUCGAACCGCCAACCUUUUGAUCAGCAAGCCCAAGAAGCACAGUGGUUUAACCCACAGUACCUCCCGCAUCCCCAUCAACCUGUUAUUAUAGAGCAAAGUAGGCAUAAUGUUAUAUGUUUGGGGGAUCAGUCUGGGUGAUAUCUGUGGGUCCCUUCCAGGCCUGUGAUCCUGGAUCAAGGAAGCUUAGAAUCCAGUAGAAGAGGCCACUGAACCAGUCAGAACAAUCUCUUUGUAAAAUAAUGGCUUUAGCUGGCCAGUUAAGCACCACUAUUUACAUGACCAAAGAGACGGCUCUGUUGCCAUAGAGACAAAGGCAUGGCCUUUUCCCCACCUCAUCUGGCUGGAUGCCACAUUAUCCCAGGAUGGAGAACAAUAGACAAAGGGAGCUGUGUGUAACAGAGUUUUUGGCUGGCACUGGCAGCUGGAGUCAAAGAAGCGUGUCUUGCUCUGUGCUGGACCAAAUGUUAUUGUUUGGGCAAUGCUUUUUUAUAUAGAAAAAGAGGUGCUGGAACUUGCCAUGAACACCUCCCUCGUUCUCUUAGAACGGCAGUGGGGCUCACCUGAGAGGUGCCGGACCUGAGUUCCAGUGAGUUCUGGCUGGAAAAAAGGCCUGGGCUUGAGGAUCUCUUUGAGAACCCGAUGAGGAGCCCAGAGUUGUUGAAAUGUUAAUACUGUGAGCAUAUCCAUCCUAUGCUCAGGUUGUAUAUAUAUGUAAAUAAACCAUAUAUCCUAUGGUGUGUGCACCUUAUUCACCCACCUCUUUACAAACAGCAAUACAGUGGUACCUCGGGUUACAGACGCUUCAGGUUACAGACUCCGCUAACCCAGAAAUAGUACCUCGGGUUAAGAACUUUGCUUCAGGAUGAGAACAGAAAUCAUGCUCCGGCGGCGCGGCAGCAGCAGGAGGCCCCAUUAGCUAAAGUGGUGCUUCAGGUUAAGAACAGUUUCAGGUUAAGAACGGACCUCCGGAACGAAUUAAGUACUUAACCCGAGGUACCACUGUAUGACCACUCCAUCACAGUUUCUCAUUGAGGUAGGGCUGUAUCUAUUUGUUUUCAUCUGAUAAAGGUAAAGGGGGCCCUGACCAUUAGGUCCAGUCGUGGCCAACUCUGGGGUUGCGGCACUCAUCUCGCUUUAUUGGCCGUACAGCUUCCGGGUCAUGUAGCCAGCAUGACUAAGCUACUUCUAGCGAACCAGAGCAGCACACGGAAACGCCGUUUACCCUCCCGCCAGAGCGGUACCUAUUUAUCUACUUGCACUUUGACAUGCUUCCAAACUGGUAGGUUGGCAGGAGCAGGGACCGAGCAACGGGAGCUCACUCGGUCGCGGGGAUUCGAACCGCCGACCUUCUAAUCGGCAAGCCCUAGGCUUUGUGGUUUAACCAACAGCGCCACCCGCGUCCCUUUCAUUUGAUAGAUUUUAUCUAUAUCACACCUUUUUCUCCAAGGAGCUCCAAGUGACAUACAUGCUUCUUCCCCUCCUCAUUUUAAUUCCCACAACAACCCUCUGGGGUAGGUUAGACUGAGAGGUGGUGACUGGCCCCAGGUCAUCCAGUGAGGUUCAUGGCUGAGUAGGGGUUUGAACCCUGGUCUCCCAGGUCCCAGCCCAGCACUCUAACCAAUACACCACACUGGUGCUUUACCAUCUCAUUCUCUUAUAGUUAGUAGUACUGAGCAACUUUGACACACAAGAAAUAUGGCAACCCGGACUCUCAAUCUAGACCAGAGCUUUCCAAACUUUUCAUGUUGGUGACACGCUUUUUGGACAUUCACUGUUUUGUGACGCGAUAAUUCAGUUUUUGGGAUGCGGGUGGCGCUGUGGGUUAAACCACAGAGCCUAGGACUUGCCGAUCAGAAGGUCGGCGGUUUGAAUCCCCAUGACAGGGUGAGCUCCCGUUGCUCGGUCCCUGCUCCUGCCAACCUAGCAGUUCAAAAGCAUGUCAAAGUGCAAGUAGAUAAAUAGGUACCACUCCAGUGGGAAGGUAAACAGCAUUUCCGUGCACUGCUCUGGUUCGCCAGAAGUGGCUUAGUCAUGCCGGCCACAUGACCCGGAAAGCUGUAUGCCAGCUCCCUCGGCCAAUAAAGCGAGAUGAGCGCCGCAACCCCAGAGUCGGCCACGACUGGACCUAAUGGUCAGGGGUCCCUUUACCUUUACCUAAUUCAGCUUUACUAGGAAACCGGAGGUUAAAUUAACCACUUAGGAGGAGCACGGGGAGCAUUCACAUGACACACCUACACACUGCAGCCAAUACACGAACGUUUCACAACACACAGUUUGGAAAGCUCUGAUCUAGGCAGUGAAAACACAGAUCCAGCUGCCACCCCAAAAUUCAUCACUCAUUUCUCCCAUUGGAAAAUGCAUUCAUCAGUCCAAAAUUAAAAGAGGUGCUCACCUGCAGACCCCAAAAAGUCUUCAUAGCAGCAACCUCCUUAAUAUAUCCCAAAUAAAUAAUUGCAUUUUAACACACACACCCUUGGCUUAAUACGCUUUAUGUUCUUCAAAGCAGAGAAUCAUUCUUGUUUUGUGUGGAGUGGAAAAGAAAAAGAUUGAAGCGACUAACAAGAAAGAUUGUUUGGGAGGGGGGGUCGGAAGCCUGCCAAAGUGAGAAUUCCAUUCCCAGCAAAGAGCUCAUCAGACAGAUACCAAAUGACCAUUUCCUGGCAGAUGUCUAUUAGGAGGCUUCUAAGCAUUAUAUUUUGUACAAUUGAAUCCAAUCUAGAGAAGACACAGAGUUGCAUUUACUUACUUGCUGCAAUAAAUUGGAAAACACAUUGAAUUAUCAAUCUCCUUUCAGGCUUGGAGGAACUUCAGAAUGAAUGGAGCCAGCCCGGCCAUUAAGAAGAGUGAGAAUGGAAAAUUGGGUUCUGCGUGUCAGGUGCUAACUCGGGAUUUGGCAGGCCAGUUGCCCAAAGCCAGGUGCUUAGUAAGCACAUCCAUGCGGAAGACUGUGCUAAUGUUAGCGCCUUCCUCUGCGUGAGGCUCUUGUCCAUUGCUUAGAGCUUCAUGGCCAGAUAACCUAAACAAAGCAGCCUUUUGUGUGAUGAGCAUAUUCCCUGUCAGGAUCAAUUCUCUCUCGUCCCAAAGUUUGAGGCUUUUGUGAGUGCUCACCUCUGCCACCACCAUCUGCUUGCCCUAUUCUCAAAGGGAAAGAGAGGGUGGAAGCUCUGCUUCCUUGAUCCAUCUAGCACUAAUAUUAUCUCCACUGAAUAGCAGUGGCGCUCCAGGAUUCCAGGUGAAGGACGCUCUCAGCCCUGCACAGAGAUGCUUUCAAUGGAUGGAUGGAUGGAUGGAUGGAUGGAUGGAUGGAUGGAUUUACAGUAGUACCUCGGGUUAAGAACUUAAUUCAUUCCAGAGGUCCAUUCUUAACUUGAAACUGUUCUUAACCUGAAGUACCACUUUGGCUAAUGGGGCCUCCCACUGCCACCAUGCCGCCGCGGCAUGAUUUCUGUUCUCACCCUGAAGCAAAGUUCUUAACCCGAGGUACUAUUUCUGGGUUAGCGGAGUCUGUAACCUGAAGCAUCUGUAACCCGAGGUACCACUGUAUUUAACUAACUAACUAACUAACUAACUAACUAACUAACUAACAUGAUUGAUAUACCACUGGAUUGUAACAAAACCUCAAAGCAGUUUGCAACAACAAAAAGAAUAGGACUGUCAGAAGGUCGGCAGUUCGAAUCCCUGUGACGGGGUGAGCUCCCGUUGCUCGAUCCCUGCUCCUGCCAACCUAGCAGUUCGAAAGCACGUCAAAGUGCAAGUAGAUAAAUAGGUACUGCUCCAGCGGGAAGGUAAAUGGUGUUUCCUUGUGCUGCUCUAGUUCGCCAGAAGCGGCUUAGUCAUGCUGGCCACAUGACCCGGAAGCUGUAUGCUGGCUCCCUCGGCCAAUAAUGAUAAGCCAAUAACCAGAUUAAAAUGCAUGCCCAAUUUUCUGCAUAGCUGAAUAGGCUUGCCUGAGAAAAAAUAUUUUUAGCAGGUGCCUAAAAGAGCACAGCAAAGGAGCCUGCCCCACAUUAAUAGACAUGGUGCUGCAAGGAGAGGGCAAACCAGAGCUGGUGAGCCAAACAGGGAGACCUAGAGAGCCACAUUUGGCCACCAGGCCUGAGGUUCCCCGCUCCUAGCCUGACAGAACACAUUGUGCAUGCUAUUUUCAGUAACAAAUGCAUUUCCAUGCACAUCUCUCCCUCCCCCGUGUACAUGUCUGCACACAUCAUUUGGUUGAAGAACUGCAUCACAAAAUUCAGAGAAGUGUGAAUUCCAGCUUGAAUGUUGUUUUGGGAAGUUCAAAUCAGCUAGGCUCACACUAAAAGAUGAACCAAAACAGAUUUCUCUCCCACUUCUUGGUGGGGAGUUGAAUUUCCAAGCAGCUUUUCAGCUUUGGCAUGUUUAGCCUGGAGAAGAGGAGGUUAAGGGGUGAUAUGAUAGCCAUGUUCAAAUAUAUAAAAGGAUGUCACAUAGAGGAGGGAGAAAGGUUGCUUUCUGCUGCUCCAGGGAGCGGACAUGGAGCAAUGGAUCCAAACUACAAGAAAGAAGAUUCCACCUAAACAUUAGGAAGAACUUCCUGACAGUAAGAGCUGUUUGACAGUGGAAUUUGCUGCCAAGGAGUGUGGUGGAGUCUCCUUCUUUGGAGGUCUUUAAGCAGAGGCUUGACAACCAUAUGUCAGGAGUGCUCUGAUAGUGUUUCCUGCUUGGCAGGGGGUUGGACUCGAUGGCCCUUGUGGUCUCUUCCAACUCUAUGAUUCUAUGAUUUGGCAAGUCCUGGGAAUGAGAAUUCCCCAGGGGGCAAUGCAAUAGGGCUCACGCAUGCAGCACCAUCCGCACACAUAUGUCAACAUUACAAGCUGCGAGCGAACUCCCAGGGAACGUAUGCUUUUUCUGAAUGUUCACUGAUAAUUAAGCCAAUUCGAGAUCAAGCAAUCCCAAAGUGAGGCAGAUGGCCUCAAGGGCUGUAUCCCAGUUUGCUGAACUUAGCAACAGAGGAAGCUGCCUUAUACCGAGUCAACCCAAUGGUCCAUGUAGCUCAGUAUUGUCUACACUGAUGGGCAGAAGCACAACAGGGUUUCAGACAGGCAGCGUCUACUAACUCUACCCAGAGAGGCCAGGUAUUGAACCCGGGAUCUUCUGCAUGCAAGGCUGGUAUCCCACCACUUAGCUAUGUCCCUCGCCCCAAACAGACAUGUUUCAUCAAAUUAAGAGGAGAAAGGGUUGGUCAUUUAUAGAGGUGCAUAAUUUAAACGGUUUCUCUGGUUGACAUCAAUGCAUUGGAGUCAGGAUUGGAGGGGCAGAAAUUCCGGGCCCCACAGCCAUGUGGCAUAAGGUAAAGGUAAAGGACCCCUGAACGGUUCAAUCCAGUCAAAGGCAAGUAUGGGGUUGCGGUGCUCAUCUCCACAGGUCAUGUGGCCAGCAUGGCUGAACUGCUUCUGGUACAAUGGGAAACCAGGAAACCAGAGCACAUGGAAAUACCAUUUACCUUCCCGCUGCAGCAGUACCUAUUUAUCUACUUGCACUGGUGUGCUUUCGAACUGCUAGGUUGGCAGAAGCUGGGACAAAGCAACGGGAGCUCAGCCCGUCGUGUGGAUUAGAACCACUGACCUUCUGAACAGCAAGCCCAAGAAGCUCAAUGGUUUAGACCAAAGCACCACCUGCAUCCCGCUCCAUGUGGCAUACCACAUUUUGAAGUAGAUGAAGUAAUAUGCAUUGUGUAUGGCAUGGGGUGAAGUUGUAGACCAUUAAGGCUAUCACCUACAUGUGAUACUUUCAUUGCAGGCGGUUGGGCCAGAUGUUCCACUGGGGCCCUUCCAAUCCUACAAUUUCCUUAUUCUGUGAUUUUAUUAUUCUAAGUCCAGAGUCUAAAAUUACCUAACUGCACCACGACUGGUUGAGCCAGCUAAGUGCGCCAUUUAUUUCAUUCUUAUUCAUUUGUCCAUUCAAGAAUUUAUAAACCAAUCUACAUUCAGAGAAAGACCAAAUGAUAUACAGAAAUAUAGAAAGCAGAAAACAGAAAUAAAAUUGAGGUAAUUUAGGGAAGGCUUGGGAGAAAAGAAAAGUUUCCAAUGAGCCUCUAAAAGAUAACCAUGCCAGAGCUUGCUUCCUUUCUAGGGGUCGGGAAAUUCCAGAGAACUGACGUUGCCACAGUGCUAAAGGUACUUGCUUGAGACACAGCAUGCUUUGAUGUGGGGGUUUUCAUCAGGCAUAAACAUACUUUCAUCCACAGAUCUUAAACGAUGGGGGUUGGAUGUAGUGGGAGACUUGGCUUAUCAGAUAUACUGGUUUGGAACCGCACAGGGCUUUGUAUCCCACUACUAGAUAGAAACAGUUUAUCCGGUGGGGCACUGCCACUUACCAUGAGGCAAGAGGGGUUUGGCAGCAGGAAGGCUGGCAUGGUGUAAAUGCACAGGCAGAGCCAACCCAGCACUCUUUUCCCCCCAAAAAAAUUGUUUAUUGAUUUUCCGAAUUUAUAACAAAUACAAUGCACAAAAAAGAAAAACAUCACAAUAUUAAAAAGAAAAACAAACAUAUAAACACCUAACCCUUCUAAAAACCCAAUUUAAAUUUCAUUGUUAAGUGACUUCCUCAAAUCCCCCCUAACUGAAUUUCAAUGAGUCGCCUUGUAACAGUUUUCCAAUAUCCACUUUCUAAUGAAAUUAACUCAUUCAGAUUACUAUCUUCCUUCCUUUUCAUAAUAUUCUCAAUCCAUAUUAUUAUACAAUUAAACAUACUUUAAUCCUAGGCCACUUUGGUAAUUCUACUUAUCUUAUAUUAGAGUAUCUAGCUAAAUAAUCUUUAAAUUUCAUCCAGUCUUCUUGGUAUUCCUCCUCGUUCUGAUCGCUGAUUCUUCCAGUCAGGUCGGCCAGCUCCAAAACGUCAAGCAUCUUCAUCUGCCAUUCUUCCACUGUUGGUAUGUCUUGCAAUUUUCAAUUUUUGGCUAACAAAAUUCUUGCUGCAUCUAAAGUUAUAAUAUGUUAAAUUAAAGGAUUAAGACAAAAACAAAGAGGGAAAGGAAUUGCUGAAUUAACUAAUAGAACUGGAAGACAAAAAAGGGAGGUGUGAGGAAGUCAGGGAAGUAAGGAAAUGAAAUGUAAGUUAUGGAAAGAUUGAUGUGUUGUUGUUUUUUUUAAGUGUUUUCUAUCUUUUUUCUGUAUUUUGUAUUUUGUAUUUUUUUCUUUUUAUCUCUUUCUUUUCUUUUUUCUUUUUAUCUAUGUAAUUUUUUCUUUGAAACUUUAAUAAAUAUCAUUUUAAAAAAAAACAAAAUUCUUGCUGCAGUUGUGGCAUGCAAAAACAAUCUAGCAUCUUUUGGGGGCAAUUCCAAUCCCAUUAUUCCAAGUAGAAAGGCUUCUGGUUUCUUAAUAAAUGUAUAUUUCAACUUUUUUUUCAAUUCAUUAUAAUUUUUUCCCCAGAAGUUUUUCACCUUCGGACAGGUCCACCACAUGUGAUAAAAGGUACCAACCCAGCACUCUUGCUGGUGCACUUGCACUGCACCAACCUUCCAAAUGCCUCACCUCUCCCAGAAAGCAACAAUAAUGCCCUUUCUGGGAGUCUAGCAUAGCAGCUCUGCCCCACCAAGCACACCAUCAGUCUAGCUUGGUAGAAAUUUUUUCUUCACAUCUACACCCCUAAUGGACAGGGAUGGUAGAGUGCUAAACCACUACUGCUUGCCAUGCGGCAUAAGUAAGGUAAAUGCAACACACAGCCUUCCUUCCUUAAACCUGAAUUAUUUCAAUUCUUUUCAUGAAGCACCACCAAAAGAAAUGCGCUUCACCAACUUAUCCCCUGAGAAUGGGGUGGGUGGGUCUUGGAGUGGGGGGGGAAAGCAUUUUGCAAUAGCCCUGAAUAGCGUAAGGUGGUGCUAAGUGUUUGCUGUUGCACCCCCUAAGCAAUCUUGCUGAAUCAGGCCCUCACGCUUGCUUGACAUGACCCCCAAAAAAUAUUCUCAUUGUAGAGCCUGGCCAAAUUAACAGGUAAUUGAAACGGGUAGGUAUCAAAUUUGGCCUGUGCGGUAAAAGUUUCCCACUUUUUGUCAUAGCAGCAGAUGUCAGUCCCAUAACAGGUGCCCUAUUUUGGAUCUCCACUGACAUCCCAUCUUCUGCAUAAUCGUGAGGGACAAGAACUUAGGCAGAAAGAAAUCCAAUUUCCUCAAGUCAGAUUGACACAAAUCUGCAUGGAACUCGCAAAUCGGCACUGCCCACUCCUGUCUGGUUUACCCUUUUCAUUGCUGUUUUGUUUAUCUCCUUUCUUAAUUGGGAUGUUGGCUAAUAUUUCUUCCCUGAUUUUAUAUAAGCCCCUUCGAUUAUUCCUUGAUUCCACACCUGCGCAGAGGGACAUCUCAUUAUGCAAUCUAGAAAUCCCCAAUAUGAUUUCACAGUUUCUGGAUUCAUAUUGCUCAGCUGAUAUGAGACCAUUGUCAACAGCCGACGGGUUUCAAAGCAGCCAAUAAUCAGUUGGGUAAAUUGCCAUUUGUCGUCUUUUUUGGACUUAACGUUCUCUGGGACCAGAGAAACCCAUCAGCGAUCGCCUUGGGCAUGAUACGCCCUGCUUAAUUGCUAUAACAAUCAGGCCCUCUGUGGUGCUUAUGGAGCAGAGCUGCAAAACCUUGAAGAAAGCAAAUGAAUAUCGACUUGCCAGUGAUAGAAAUGACGCACCUCUGGAGGAUUCCUGGUGUUAGCCGAAGACAGAAACUGAGAAGUAAUGACACCAGAAAGCAUGCUGUGAAUAAAAAAGGAGAAGCCACAAGCUGUCAAGGAAAGAAUAGAAACUGUUGCUAAGUGGGAGGUACAUUUAUCUCACCUUUCACACCAAAGGAAGAAAAAAAGGCAUUGUUCCCUUGAAGAAGAAGAAAAUCCACUCCAGCAAGGUAUGCUAAUAAAUGCCAAGGCAGUGCUGCAAAGAACCCAACAUGGAUUUAUCAUCUUGUCUUGUUUUAGGGAAAUGGGGCAUCCUUUGCCAUACAUAGCAGUGAAAUACCUGGGUGUCAGGGACUGGCUGGUGAACCCCCAAGGGAAGCCCUAGAGGAGGAAGGCUCAGAGCCUGGGAAUUGGUGAUGUGAUGCCGAGGAGAGGUCAGAGGGAAAAGAGUGGAGUCCUGAAGGGGCAACAGGAUUUAGUGAGCAGAGAGACACUGUGACAGGAACCAGUUCGGACUCAGAGGCUGAAGCAGAAGAGGGAGAGGGCAAGAGGCUGCAGAAGAACCUGUCUCUCCUACUGUGACAAACUCCCCUCCUCUCUUGUCUCCAAGGAUGCUCAGAUGCUGUUGGAGACUGCUUGGAAAAUAACCAACAGAGGAAGAUGAAGAAGAGAAGAAGAGGUUGGAUUUGAUAUCCCGCCUUUCACUCCCUUUAAGGAGUCUCAAAGCGGCUAACAUUCUCCUUUCCCUUCCUCCCCCACAAUAAACACUCUGUGAGGUGAGUGAGACUGAGAGACUUCAGAGACGUGUGACUAGCCCAAGGUCACCCAGCAGCUGCAUGUGGAGGAGUGGAGACGCGAACCCGGUUCACCAGAUUACGAGACUACCGCUGUUAGCCACUACACCACACUGGAUGGGUUAGAAGGCGGGAACCACCAGUCCUGGCAACUGCUCCAUAGGGCAAGAUCUACCGAGAGUGUUUCUGGGUGUGUGUUCAAUGCCUUGAAUAGAAAGUUAACUUCAAGGACCACUCGUUCUGCUUCUUCUGCUGACUGCAUCUAACUCCAGCCCUGGCAUUGGGCACAGAGAUGUUUGGGUCUUGUGUGAGUAUACCCAUGAGAGUGAAAAAGACACCUCCCUCCUGCAAUUUAUACAUGAUUGUGAUGUCCACAUAAAAAAUGGCACCAUCUUUGAAUGCUUUCUGCUGAUGGGUCAAGAGGCAUCUUUUUCAUCCAGGCCUCUGGAAACAGAGGCGAUAGCCAUCAUAGCUAUUCACAACCAUAGCUAAUGGUUUUAAUUUUUAGCAUUACAUGGCUAUGCUGGUUGUUGUAAGCUAGAGGAAGCUCAUGUGGUGUCCUCAAGAUAUUGUGGACUCCGCUUUCCAUUAUCCCUGAUCAUUGGCCAUGCUGGCUGGGACUGAUGGGAGCUGGAGUCCAGUGACACUUGGAUGGCACCAGGCUGACUAUUUGUGCCUUAUGUUGCGCCAUCUCACCAGAAAUCAGGAGGAUCACAACUUCAGUAGGGAAUGGGACAAAUACAGAUUGUACUUAAAAGAACACUGUAAUCACUUGAGCUCUUUGGCAGGCUUUCAAUAACUCUUGCAAUGUUACAAAGGUUUUGGAUGUUUCGCAGGACUAUAAUGUGGAUGGAUUAUAAUAUGCAGUUGUUUUAGAGAUACAAAGGACCCACAGAGGAGAGGAGAUUCAGAAGAAUCUUGUUUGAUGUUAAAAUCUAAAUGUGUUAAAUGUGAGAUUUAUUUUGUAAAACCAAUAAAAAUCAUUUCAAAAAAUAAUAAUAUUUGUGUCUUAUGUUAUAUGUAACCUUCCCUGGACCCCCUUGGUGACGGACAGGCUAUACAUUAUAUAACAGCUACAACAACACUGACCCUAAGCCUACUUUAUUCUUUUUUCUGCCUGAAUAGAACGGCAGGCUGUGGGGGAUAGGAGGUUGCCAGGUACCUGAGAAGCCACAAUUCACAGCUGUUAGCUUAUGUUCAGUUUGGUACAUCACAAGUGGUGCAGGCUACUUCGCCCCUCUCAACAAAAGUAACCUCUGUUUCGGUACCUUAAUGAGACUCUAGAGAACGUCAUCGGGCACCUCCCAUACUAUUUUACUGUAGUGAUGCCUGCUUAGUAUACACGCUGUAGGCUGAUCUGGAAUAAACUCAAAAUUGCAAAUGCAGCUGAUCUCCAAAAAGUAGCUGCAAGCCAAGAAGACAGCUUUUGUUUAGCAGUCGGUGCUACCCAAUUAAGUUCUGCAAAUAAAUAGACAAACACUAUUUGGGUCUCAAGUUGGUUUGAGAUUUGUUUUUAUUUAGGUGGAGAGAAAUGCCAUUUUGCAUGCCAAGCUUGUGUUGUCAACCUAGGCCAUUAGAAGCAAAGUGAAAUAAACAUAGCAUGUGCCCUUGAUUCGGAACAAGGCAGUGUGCUGGGGGAUUAUCACAUGAGUGUUUUGUCUGCUCUCCAAUUCACCAAAGGUCUGCUUCAAAUGUUAUGUGAGAAGUGUGGUUGCCCGUUUCUAUAUCAGCCUUGUAGGAUCAGACCAAGAUUUCUCUGCAGUAGGGAUGGAUGGAUCAGCCUGGUAUCGUUCCAUUGAGACAUGCAUACCAUACAUUUAAUGUACCUGGCUCACCCCAUCCCAUCCCACCAAAAAAAUCCUGGGAGCUGUACUUUGUUAAGGGCGCUGAGAACUGCAGCUUUGUUAAGGUUAAGCUACAGUUCCAUGGAUUCUCUGGGUAAAUCGUUUCCUUCCUAAAAGAGGGCACAUUUGUGGCGAGACCUGGAGACUGACCUCCUGGUUGUGGGUGGGUAUAUUGGACAGCCACAACACCCAUUGGUAUGUCCCUCAUUGCUGGGUUUAAUCUGGCCAACGGGGUGCAGUCUAAAUGGAUCAAGGGACCUAUAAAUACCUAUGCACUUGACCCAUAGCUUCCUAUUUCGACUCGUGCAUCAGAAGACCCGCCCACUUCUCCCUACUUUUAGGGCAUUUUGCAAUUGACCUUUCUAUGCUUUCGUGUGUCGUCUGUCAUUGGGACAGGGGCACAGCAGGAAUUUUCCCCACUUGGCUAAUUGGCUGUUGCCAUUUGGGUUCCACCUGCCGCAUAGCAAAUCAUCACAGCUUGUAAGGUUGUGGAUAGGCACUGGUUCAGGUGACAGGGAUGGGAGAACGGUCUCGCCAUCCUUAUGUGAAGGGUAUUCUGUUAAAGUAAUCUAGGGACUCAACUUGGUUUGGUCAAGAGGUGGUUGUGCCAUGCCUUGAGUCCAGGGGAGCAUCUAGGGAGUGAAGAGAGUCUGUUCCCGGGCUUUUCACCUACCUCAGGUGUUCACCCUUGGCUGACCUAUGCUGGUGCCCUGGGUCAGCGCUACCUGCAAGGGUGCAGGGAGCUAGUCGAACCAGAGCCUAUGCAACCAGUCACUUUUCUGUAAUCAAUAAAGUUGUGGCCUAAAUUCUGCCAAAAACCAAAACUAAAAUUUGAGUCCAAUGUGUGUUUAUUUAUGGGGGAGGUCUCUGGGUCUUAUGCAUUCAGUCGUAAGUCUGUUCUACCCCAUUUCCUGAGGAAUGCAAAAGCACACCAAAAAUGCAUUUGAAUUGUGCACAUUUUGUACAUAUGUAUGCAUUUCCCUUCUAAAAUACACAUUUUUAUGCAUGCAUUGCUAUGAUUCCCCACCAAGAUGCGAAUUUUGUAUGAAUUUGUCAUAACCCAAACUUUAUUGCUCAUUGAGUCACAGGGAUUUAAAAUAGAACCUUGAAAACAGCUUGAAACAAAUUAGAAACACAAGAAUAGGGUGGGUCCUAAAAAAUACAUCUCAAGUGUCAAAGGCCAGGAUAAAAAGGUGAAUCUUCAGCAUAUGUCAAAUACGGUAUAGUGAAGGUGUCAGGCAAACCUAUGUGGGGAGGAAUUUCCACAACUUUGUUACAAGCCAUGACUCUGAACCAUGAAGAACCACUGGGAGACUCCCUGGAAGGUUUCAGAGAUUGAGCAGGGAUGUCAGGAAUCUAGGUGAAGAACCAUUGGUUCCCUAUCCCUGGUCCCUGCCCCAGCUCACUGAGGGAAAGGAGGCACUGGGGUGUUUUAAGCUUAAAAUAAAACAUUUCCUUCCUUUUCUUAACACAGCUGAAUGACAGUUGGAGGCUCAAAAGGGCUUUUCCACCAAAUGCUCACAUCUUGAGUAAACAGCUCUUGAGGGUUUUAAGCCACAGCUGAAAUGAAAGGUCGUGCUCCUUAAAAAGCAAUGUUUAAGCACAUUUUCUUCAGCACGCAGAACAGUGGUGUGAGCUGCCAAAACCACACACACAAAAAAACCUUCCAGGAAGAGGACUUGACAUUUAAUAGCCACAGACAUUUUCUUUCUUCAUUUAUUUAUUGACCGCAUUUCUUUGUCUCUUUUCCAUGAAGUGAUGAAGGCAAUAUAAACUGCCAUUGCAAUUAGAAGCGUCGCAUUGGCUUGUUUCGUUUUUCUUUAAAAGCAGCAACAUCAAAUGAAAGAAGCAGCAAGGGUUGGUUACCUUCAGUAUCGUCUGUGAACAGAGAUAGAGACCCAAGGUCAACCUUCCAGCUUGGUUGGGGCCCAGAGACAAGGUAGCUGGAACAACAAAGGUGAUUCUUAACCUUUGUACAGUCACCUACCCUCCAGGUAUGCAGAAGCCCCAUUUCUACACCCAUACAUCUCUCCAUCUAGACAAGCAAGAGGGAGGUGGGUUUUGCCCAGAGCAGACCCACUAAAAUUAAUGAGCAUGAGUAAAGGUAAAGGGACCCCUGACCAUUAGGUCCAGUCGUGGCCGCUUCUGGGGUUGCGGCGCUCAUUUCACGUUAUUGGCUGAGGGAGGUGGCGUACAGCUUCCGGGUCAUGUGGCCAGCAUGACUAAGCCGCUUCUGGCAAACCAGAGCAGCACACGGAAAUGCCGUUUACCUUUCUGCCGGAGCAGUACCUAUUUAUCUACUUGCACUUUGACAUGCUUUCGAACUGUUAGGUUGGCAGGAGCAGGGACCGAGCAAUGGGAGCUCACCCCAUCACAGGGAUUCGAACCGCCAACCUUCUGAUCGGCAAGCCCUAGGCUCUGUGGUUUAACCCACAGUGCCACCUGCGUCCAAUGAGCAUGAGUAAGUUCCAUUAAUUUCAAUAGGUCUACUAUGAGUCCAACUUGAUUGAGUGACAGCCACAGGUCUAGGAGAGGGCAAAGCAUACCCAGUGAGGGGCAUGACGGUUAUAAUGCUCGUGGCCUGGGCUGGAGUAUGUAUUGGUGAGGGCCAGAUAGACAGGUCUGGGGGCCGCAUUUGGCCACCAGACCUGAGCUCCCCACCACCACCACCACCUUGUUCUGCAGCCAAGAUUAUCAGUGUAGGAGCAAUUCCUCAUUACUAACCCUGAUGAAUUAAGCAAUCUUUGGAGACCCAGGUUCCACAUCCCGUGAUCACAUCUGUAAGGAGAGGCUGCAGACGAGGACAAAGAUUGUCUUUUCCAAAACAAGGGUGCAGAGUUGACUUCAUAUAUAUUAAACAAACAAGCAAAGCUAUUCAGUCAGCUUCAAAGGUUACCUGUCAAGCAUGCUGUUCUGUAAACAAAACACCAAGCCAUUUUCAAUAAUACUAUUUACAAAAUUAGCCAUCACACGCCUGGUGCUGACAGAAGUCUUCAUGCUACCCUUUAAAUCUGCUGCCUAUCUAAUUUCAUGCCAAGGUCUUAAUCUACAAUUAUAGAGUGGCUGGCCAGUGGAUGCACAUCUGAGUACCAAUUUUCAAUAAUUACUACUUUUAGUGUUAUUUAUGAGUGGUCUUUGGACCUUAUUCAGACAAACUCCAAAGUAAAUUGCUCCCAUAGGCCUGACCUCAGCCACAGACUCUAAUUAUCGGUAGUUAGCUGUAGCAAACAGUCAGAUGAAUAGCUGUUUCCUAAGCCAUGGCUGUCUAAACUUCUGCUCCCCCUUUAAUAGAGCCAGCUAAACCCUAGCUAACCCUGAUGAAUUAAGCAAUCUUUGGAGAGCCAGGUUCCACAUCCCGUGAUCUAAAUGGAUAGACCAUGAGGCAAUGAGAAUUGUCAGGCUGGGUAUUAGUAAGAAAUAUGAGCAUAUGAAUUUGUGCCGCUCUGCACCUGACAGAGCCCGGCAGGCAGGAAGGCAGAUUUCAUUUCUCGCUGGGACAAUUCAAACACACGAACGUUUUCAACAAAGGAGGCCCCUGGGCCCAAAACUUGCAAACAUUUUCCUCAUGGAUAGAGCAUUUUAACCUAACAGAUAUGCUGUGGGUAUUCCACUCCCUUUUCAAGGCAGAACUUCCAACGAUGGGGAUAGUUGGCAGGGUUAGGAGUCAGUUCUGAGGUAAAUUCAUCUGCUGUCCUGGUGGUAAUGAUAAGCAACCUUGUUUUAACGGAAGACAUGAGGCAGAACUAAGGUUAAAAUUGGCAGAAAUGACAGCUCUGGGCCAGGUUCCUCCCUCUCUUACAAAUAGUUCAGCGACUUGCCUCUUGUCAUGGCACCAUUACAGGAAGGCUACACCAACACCAUACAUUUUAAGCACUAUCGUGUACCACUUUAACAGUCAUGGCUUCCCCGCAAGAUCAUAAGUGUGAUGGCCUGGGACUCAGAUUCAGAACCAGAGGAGUCUCAGUCUGCACCGGAUCCUUUGCCUCAGGCAUCAUCUGAACCAAGUCUGGGGCCUGAUCCUGAAGAGUCCCAGUCUGCACUGGUUCCCCUGCAAUAAACACCAGCUGGGCCGAGUCAGAGGCCUGAGCCUGCCCUGGCUCCAGAUGUGGGGAUUACUUCAUUGCCUUCAGCUGGGCAAUCACUUAGAGCUGCUCAACUACCAGUUGGGUCAAGAGCGGCUGAGGCGGCCCCUGGGUCUAGGAACCCACCGAUGUCUCCCAAGCUGCAGAGACGAAGAUCUGAGAGAAGGAGAGACCUGAGUACUCACAGGAGGAAUGCUCACCUUCGGGCAAAACAGGGAGGUGAGUCGCCGGGGAAUCAGGACCAGCCGUUACCCUGACAAAGAUAAAAGGCUGUCAGACCCUGCCCCAGGUUGUGGGAGCAACAUUGCUGUAUGCCAGAUCCUGCCUGAGAUCCUGUACCUGUCCUUGCCUGGUUUCCUGCCUCAUGUCCUGCCUUGACCCUGUUGGACUGACUCCCAGCGGAACCUUCGGAUUCUGGACCGGAUCUGGACCACAGUUCUCGCGUUACCCCCGGGCCCAGCACAAUAAGAACACAAGAGUGGCCUGCUGGAUCAGGCCAAUGGCCCAUCUAGCCCAGCAUCCUGUUCCUACAGUGGGCAACGAGAUGCCUGUGGGAAACCUGCCCGCAGGAUCUGAGCUCAAGAGCUUUCUCACAUCUGUUUCGGCAACUGGCAUUCGGAAGCCUAGUGCCUCCAACCAUGGAGCCAGAGCAAAACCAUCAUGGCUCAUAGCCACUGAUAGACUUCUCCUAUACGAAUUUGUCUGGUCCUCUUUUAAAGCCAUCAAAGUUGGUGGCCAUCACCACCACCUCUGGGAGUGACCUCCAUAACUUAACUAUGCUCUGCAUGAAGUAUUUUUUUUUUAAUCUGUCCUGAAGGGUUGGAGCUGUAGUUUGUUUUUCGUUUUGUUUUUGCAUUUUUAUUGAUUUUUUAACAUAUCAGUUCCAACAGUCAUACAACAUAUCUUCUCAUCUUAUCCAGUGUUUUAGACUUCCGUCAACACCUCUGAUGAUUUUCCGUUCUUUAUCACUUAUUCUGCAUUUCUUAAUUUCUAUAUUGCAUUUAAUUCUCCUUAACUAAUAAUUCUUUUCAUAGUCUUUCUUGUAAUAUUUCAGAUAAGCCACUUUACAAAACUUCUUGCAGUCCUAGGAGCGUAAUCUGUUCAUCACAAUUACUUUUCAAAUAGUUCAUAUAUUUACUCCAGUCCUCUAAGAAUCUCUGAUCCUGCAGGUUCUGAAUCCUUCCUGUUAAUUUAUCUAAUUUUGCAUUGUCCAUCAAUUUCAUCCUCCAUUCUUCUUUUGCUGGUAAUUCUUCUUGCUUCCAUUUUAGUGCCAAUAAUAUAUGUCGUUGCAUAUAAAAACAGCUUACAAUCCUGUCUGUUAAUAUCAUCUCCUACAAUGCCAAGUAAAAAAGCUUCUGGUUUCUUAAUAAAUGUAUAUUUCAACAUCUUUUUCAUCUCAUUAUAUAUCAUUUCCCAGAAGCUUUUCACUUUUUUAUAUUCCCACCAUGAGAUAAAAAGUUCCUUCUGGAGCUGUAGUUUGUUAAGGGUGCUGGGAAAUACUAGGAGACCCUCUAUUCUCCUCACAGAGCUAAAAUUUCCAGAGUUUUCCAGGAAGAAGAAUUAUUAAACCACUCUAGGAAUUACAGCCCGUGACGGGAAUAGGGGGGUCUCCUAUCACCUCUCUACAACCAUAACAAACUUCAGUUCCCAUGAUUCUUUGGGAAGAGCCAUUACUAUUGAAGUGUCCUAUAAGUGCUUUGAAUGGCACAGAGGUGGCCACCCCUGGCAGCGGUAAUAGUGAAAUGGAUCAGGGUCAGCCCAAUGUAGUGCUAAUAUAGGGUUGUGACGUGUUUCUCAGCUCAAGGGCCACAUUCUGUCAUGGACAACCUUUUGGAGGCCAUAAGCCUUUUGCAAGUGGGUCCUGAACCAAAACUGAGGGAGACUGGAAGCAAAAGGGAGCAGAAUGAUGUACUUCUUACAGCAGGCCACAUUCCUCUCACAUGAAAGCCAGAACUUUCUACCCCACCAACAUGUGUGCAUACACAUUUCUCCAUCCUCUCUUGAGGAAAGCAUGAGGCAUUAUCACAGUUCAAGGACACAUCCAGAUAGGCAAAAACACUCAGGGCAGGGCCAGUGGAAGGUAUGGUCUGGGGAAAGUGCUGGUGAGGGCCACAGGUUGGGGGUUCCUCACCUCUGAUGUGAUGACAUCAGGUAGGUAGAAGAAGAUACUGCUUCAACAUAUUUAUUAAAUUUGUGUCCUGCCCUUCCUCCUGAAGGAGUCUAGUAGGACAACACAUUCAGGACAACACAUUUAAAAAGCAAUACAAAAUGAAACUUUACCUCAAGGUGUGGAGUGAGAUGGGAAACAUGACUCAGGGACUCCUGUUUUCAGUAUUGUGUGUGUGUAUGUGCUUGAGGGAUUUUUGAGGGUUUUGCUUUGUCCACAUCUUUAAGCCUGAUUUGCACUUCCCAGACCAACAUGUGGCUUAGAACCUCACAAUGUGCAUCCUUUGAUUUUCAUACUUCUCUGAAUUUUGCAGCACAGUUCUUGGUUCAAAGAAUGUACCCAAAACAGACAUUGAAAAUGAGUAUUUAGACUUUACACGUGUACAAAAAAUGUGUACUUAUGGGGGGGGAGGGUGUUUGGAAUACUUCCAAAACUGCUAAAUCUGUGGGUGCAUUUAAAUCUUAGGAUGAGGCAAAAAUGGCCUUGCGAACAAGUGCAUGCAAAGCUGACAGGGAAUAAACAGGAAUCACUUUAUCCCUGGUAUGUGGAUAUUGGUUUGUUUUUUGUCGCUCUGGCCUUAGUUUUCAAGAUUCAUUAAAAAAAUUAAUUAGCCGAGAGGCCGUCCACAAAAAUUGGCAGGAAAUUUCAUCUUAUUUACUAUGUAAUUGCCUUUGAUUUCACAUUAAAAUAGUCCCUUUGCAAACAUAGGAGCUCUUACUGGCCUAAACAAACAGUAUUGAGCUUCAUUGAAGGUUUAAACUGCCCAGAGUACUUUUGUUAUUUGGAACAGAAUAUAAAUACUGAAAAUAAAUAAAUACAAUCGUGAACAAGGUUGCUGUUUAACUGCAAUCUGAAAGUGCUAUUCUGGAGUGAAUUUCACAUGCUGGGUUGAAAGGGGCACACUUUGUUGUUGUUUAGUCGUUUAGUCGUGUCCGACUCUUCCUGACCCCAUGGACCAGAGCACGCCAGGCACUCCUGUCUUCCACUGCCUCCCGCAGUUUGGUCAGACUCAUGUUUGUAGCUUCGAGAACACUGUCCAACCAUCUCAUCCUCUGUCAUCCCCUUCUCCUUGUGCCCUCCAUCUUUCCCAACAUCAGGGUCUUUUCCAGGGAGUCUUCUCUUCUCAUGAGGUGGCCAAAAUAUUGGAGCCUCAGCUUCAUGAUCUGUCCUUCCAGUGAGCACUCAGGGCUAAUUUCCUUAAGAAUGGAUAGGUUUGAUCUUC